rnacentral:rRNA from 1 species
AUUGAACGCUGGCGACAUGCCUUACACAUGCAAGUCGAACGGCAGCACGGGUGCUUGCACCUGGUGGCGAGUGGCGAACGGGUGAGUAAUACAUCGGAACAUGUCCUGUAGUGGGGGAUAGCCCGGCGAAAGCCGGAUUAAUACCGCAUACGAUCUACGGCUGACAGCGGGGGACCUUCGGGUCUCGCGCUAUAGGGUUGGCCGACGGCUGAUUAGCUAGUUGGUGGGGUAAAGGCCUACCAAGGCGACGAUCAGUAGCUGGUCUGAGAGGACGACCAGUCACACUGGGACUGAGACACGGCCCAGACUCCUACGGGAGGCAGCAGUGGGGAAUUUUGGACAAUGGGCGAAAGCCUGAUCCAGCAAUGCCGCGUGUGUGAAGAAGGCCUUCGGGUUGUAAAGCACUUUUGUCCGGAAAGAAAUCCUUGGCCCUAAUACGGUCGGGGGAUGACGGUACCGGAAGAAUAAGCACCGGCUAACUACGUG